CGGCACGCCUAACACAUGCAAGUCGAACGCAGUAGCAAUACUGAGUGGCAAACGGGUGAGUAUAAUGUGGGAAUCUGCCUUUUGGUUUGGAAUAACACGGGGAAACUUGUGCUAAUACCGAAUAAGCCUUUACAGGGAAAGUUUUAACGCCGAAAGAUGAGCCCGCACUUGAUUAGCUAGUUGGUAAGGUAAAAGCUUACCAAGGCAACGAUCAAUAGCUGUUCUUAGAGGAAGACCAGCCACAUUGGGACUGAGACACGGCCCAGACUCCUACGGGAGGCAGCAGUGGGGAAUCUUGCACAAUGGGGGAAACCCUGAUGCAGCGAUGCCGCGUGAGUGAAGAAGGCCUUUGGGUUGUAAAACUCUUUCGUCGGGGAAGAAAAUGACUGUACCCGAAUAAGAAGGUCCGG
rnacentral:rRNA from 1 species